UACGUAGGUCCCGAGCGUUGUCCGGAUUUAUUGGGCGUAAAGCGAGCGCAGGUGGUUUAUUAAGUCUGGUGUAAAAGGCAGUGGCUCAACCAUUGUAUGCAUUGGAAACUGGUAGACUUGAGUGCAGGAGAGGAGAGUGGAAUUCCAUGUGUAGCGGUGAAAUGCGUAGAUAUAUGGAGGAACACCGGUGGCGAAAGCGGCUCUCUGGCCCGAUACUGACGCUGAGGCACGAAAGCGUGGGGAGCAAACAGG
rnacentral:rRNA from 1 species